rnacentral:rRNA from 1 species
UGGGGAAUUUUGGACAAUGGGGGCAACCCUGAUCCAGCAAUGCCGCGUGUGUGAAGAAGGCCUUCGGGUUGUAAAGCACUUUUGUCCGGAAAGAAAACGCCGUGGUUAAUACCCGUGGCGGAUGACGGUACCGGAAGAAUAAGCACCGGCUAACUACGUGCCAGCAGCCGCGGUAAUACGUAGGGUGCAAGCGUUAAUCGGAAUUACUGGGCGUAAAGCGUGCGCAGGCGGUCCGCUAAGACAGAUGUGAAAUCCCCGGGCUUAACCUGGGAACUGCAUUUGUGACUGGCAGGCUAGAGUAUGGCAGAGGGGGGUAGAAUUCCACGUGUAGCAGUGAAAUGCGUAGAGAUGUGGAGGAAUACCGAUGGCGAAGGCAGCCCCCUGGGCCAAUACUGACGCUCAUGCACGAAAGCGUGGGGAGCAAACAGGAUUAGAUACCCUGGUAGUCCACGCCCUAAACGAUGUCAACUAGUUGUUGGGGAUUCAUUUCCUUAGUAACGUAGCUAACGCGUGAAGUUGACCGCCUGGGGAGUACGGUCGCAAGAUUAAAACUUAAAUGAAUUGACGGGGUCAUAGCUGUUUCCU